rnacentral:lncRNA from 1 species
GUUUACAUAUGAUAUUCUCUCUCUAGUUGGUACCUAAACUUAAGCUGAGAACUUAAAUGUGGGAGUUUUAGUUAUAAAAUGGCGGUUUGAACCGUCCUUGUUUAGUAAUCCAAAUCUUCCUUUUCUACGAUUCGCUCAUGCCAGUCACGAAUCUAAUCAUGGAUUUUGUUCUCGCAAUGGUGAAAACCUUUCAGUGACAAUCCAAUCAGGUAAGAGAUUUAGGGUUCUGCAUCUCUUCUUUCUGCUAGUCAUUUCAAUUCUUGCACACUCUGUUUCUUCUUUCAAUUGUUCAUUUCUGAGUUAACCCUAGCUCAACACUGAUCUAUCUAGAACUCUUAUUAUCCUCUUUGGUUUUUCCGGGAAUCUAGCUAGGGUUUAACCUUUGCUGCUUAAUUUGAUGCAGAUAGCCUAGGUCCUUCAUUGUUUGAUAGCAUCACUUGCUACUAAAUGUCAUUGGUGGACUUUUCACACUUUACUUACUUGAAAUUGCAUUAGUACCAGAGUUCCUAACAAAUGCAAUUACUUUGAAGGAUGAUGUCACAUUGACACUACUAUAGUAUGGGAAAGGUUUAUGAACUGGGUGGUCCUCAGGUCUUUACUGUGGAUGAAUAGGUAUAUAAUCUGAUACUAUCUCCAUAUUGGUUGUUGUUUAUAGUUCAUUUCUUGUCAAAACAAGAGAUACUAAUUGGAAAAUGAGGAGAAGAAAUUAGUGAAAUGAUGUAAGGACCUUUAUGUUAAAUGCAGGCAGAGCAUAUGUAGAUAUUAUUCGAGAAUGGCCUUGAUAUGCAA